rnacentral:rRNA from 1 species
ACUCCUACGGGAGGCAGCAGUGGGGAAUUUUGGACAAUGGGCGAAAGCCUGAUCCAGCAAUGCCGCGUGAGUGAAGAAGGCCUUCGGGUUGUAAAGCUCUUUUGUCAGGGAAGAAACGGUGAAAGCUAAUAUCUUUUGCUAAUGACGGUACCUGAAGAAUAAGCACCGGCUAACUACGUGCCAGCAGCCGCGGUAAUACGUAGGGUGCAAGCGUUAAUCGGAAUUACUGGGCGUAAAGCGUGCGCAGGCGGUUUUGUAAGUCUGAUGUGAAAUCCCCGGGCUCAACCUGGGAAUUGCAUUGGAGACUGCAAGGCUAGAAUCUGGCAGAGGGGGGUAGAAUUCCACGUGUAGCAGUGAAAUGCGUAGAUAUGUGGAGGAACACCGAUGGCGAAGGCAGCCCACUGGGUCAAGAUUGACGCUCAUGCACGAAAGCGUGGGGAGCAAACAGGAUUAGAAACCCUGGUAGUCCCA